GUUAGUUGGUGGGGUAAAGGCCUACCAAGACAAUGAUGCAUAGCCGAGUUGAGAGACUGAUCGGCCACAUUGGGACUGAGACACGGCCCAAACUCCUACGGGAGGCUGCAGUAGGGAAUCUUCCACAAUGGGCGAAAGCCUGAUGGAGCAACGCCGCGUGUGUGAUGAAGGCUUUCGGGUCGUAAAGCACUGUUGUAUGGGAAGAACAGCUAGAGUAGGGAAUGACUUUAGUUUGACGGUACCAUACCAGAAAGGGACGGCUAAAUACGUGCCAGCAGCCGCGGUAAUACGUAUGUCCCGAGCGUUAUCCGGAUUUAUUGGGCGUAAAGCGAGCGCAGACGGUUGAUUAAGUCUGAUGUG
rnacentral:rRNA from 1 species